CACGCGUUAAGGAAACACUGGGGAGCAAGGCCAACCGGAGCCGCACUGGACAUUGAAGAAAAUGCCUAGUGAGUCCCAACUCCCACCCCGGCUCUCCGCCACAUUCCUUCACAUUAUCAGAGCGUAUUCGUUUCUUGCUCCAUGGAUUCAAACAACACUUCAACACUAAUUUAAUCCAGUCUCUAUAUUUAAAUCUGAAAGCUCCUGCCAGCCGAAUUGCAUGUUUUUAACGAAUUAAGCAGAAAACCAGGGAGUGGUGGUGGGGGCGGGGCGGGGGAGAGCAUCUCCAGGCAACGGCGCCCAUCUCGGCCCCAGUGGAGUCAGAUGAGAGCAGCGUUGGGCUCAGAGGGGUGUGCGAGGCUCUGAGGGAACCCUCGCCGAUGACAGGCUUCCGUCUGGGUGCCUCCAGAAGUCAUCGUCACAGCGCCUCACAGAAUCCCGGCGUACUCCAGGCUCGUUCUGCAGGAGGGGUGACGACGCUGCCCGGAAGCACCAUGGCAAGGGGCAGGGGCUGGGCUGAGAGCCCUGAAGUGCAGCGGUGAGGUCCUGUCCCUAGAAACAGCAGAGAGGAUCGGGGCGAGCAGGCUCAGCACGGAGGCGGCUGCCACAUUUUCUCAAGAGUUUCCAAGUCCUAUGCGGUGCGGUCACACAGAGCACCUCCAGCUUCCCAUUGGCCUCAGGGCCUCCAGUGCAAGUGAGAACCUCCAGCUUUGAGUCCAGUGUCCGCAUUAGCAAAGUGUGUUGGCAACUUCUGCUCUCCUCAGACUGCAACUUCACUGUCCCCAGUGGACACCCACGGAGGAAGGCCAAAACCUCACAGGCACAGGCCGUGGCUCAUUUGGGGCCAGAGGGAGCUGGGGAGAGAAACCGGCCCAAAUGAACAGCCACAGUGACAGAGCACAGCGCCAAGUCCGGGGAUCCAUUCGUCCCUGUGUUUCCUGGACGAGCUGCUAUCAGAAGCCAAAGUGAAAAAGACAGGAGAGGGCAGGCCCUGGAGGACACAGAGGAUGGAGG
rnacentral:lncRNA from 1 species